rnacentral:rRNA from 1 species
AGAUUAAGUUAUUAAGGGCGCACGGUGGAUGCCUUGGCACUAGAAGCCGAUGAAGGACGUUACUAACAACGAUAUGCUUUGGGGAGCUGUAAGUAAGCUUUGAUCCAGAGAUUUCCGAAUGGGGAAACCCAGCAUGAGUUAUGUCAUGUUAUCGAUAUGUGAAUACAUAGCAUAUCAGAAGGCACACCCGGAGAACUGAAACAUCUUAGUACCCGGAGGAAGAGAAAGAAAAUUCGAUUCCCUUAGUAGCGGCGAGCGAAACGGGAAGAGCCCAAACCAACAAGCUUGCUUGUUGGGGUUGUAGGACACUCUA